AGUUAUUUAGCUUAAUUUACAAAGCGUGUACUUUGAAAGUACAAGAAAGAUAAUUAUUUAAUAACUU
rnacentral:tRNA from 1 species